rnacentral:rRNA from 1 species
AGCGAACGCUGGCGGCAGGCCUAACACAUGCAAGUCGAGCGCCGUAGCAAUACGGAGCGGCAGACGGGAGAGUAACACGUGGGAACGUAGCCUUCGGUUCGGAACAACCCAGGGAAACUUGGGCUAAUACCGGAUACGCCCGAAAGGAGAAAGAUUUAUCGCCGAAGGAUCGGCCCGCGUCUGAUUAGCUAGUUGGUGAGGUAAUGGCUCACAAAGGCGACGAUCAGUAGCUGGUCUGGGAGGAUGAUCAGCCGCACUGGGACUGAGACACGGCCCAGACUCCUACGGGAGGCAGCAGUGGGGAAUAUUGGACAAUGGGCGCAAGCCUGAUCCAGCCAUGCCGCGUGGGUGAUGAAGGCCCUAGGGUUGUAAAGCCCUUUCGGCGGGGAAGAUAAUGACGGUACCCGCAGAAGAAGCCCCGGCUAACUUCGUGCCAGCCGCCGCCGUAACAC